AUUUCUUUUUGAAGUUCGCACAGAGUUCAUUCCUAUACUUUCCAACCAAAGAUGAGCCCCAGGUUCAACUCUGCGUUGUGUACGAGAGCCAUGGGGGUCUUGCAAUUAACAGGCCAUUCAAACUGAAUGAUACAGUAAAGAGCGUUUUCAGCUGGAUAUGCGUGGAGGUCGAUCCUGAAAUUCUCCCCCCCCCCGUUUUCCACUUGGAGUGUCGCACACCCACCAACUGCCCUAACCCCAGUUGCCCGCACAUUUAUGAACUAAAAAACAACUUCAAAGUGAAAGUGGGGGACUUGCCAAAUAUAUUAUACCUGCGUGAAGGGUAUUUUGCCACAGAAGAAACUUUCACUGGAUUUGGGGAUGUUCUCAUGUAACAAGAGAAUAUAAAUUUGUAGCAGUUUUUUUUUUCUUUUCCCCAUCACAUUUGUAUAGAGUACCAUUUUUCAUUAUUGAGCAUUUGAUAUCAUUAUGAGCAGAGAUUUUUUUUCAUAGACAGCAAUAUGGCUGCUUUGUAUCAACCAUUAAUAGAGCGAAUAAAAAAACAGAAAAUAUUAUCAAUACAUGGAUUUG